ACCUACGGGAGGCAGCAGUGAGGAAUAUUGGUCAAUGGGCGGGAGCCUGAACCAGCCAAGUCGCGUGAGGGAAGACGGUCCUAUGGAUUGUAAACCUCUUUAGGCGGGGAGCAAUGCCGGGCACGCGUGUCCGGAGGGAGAGUACCCGCAGAAUAAGCAUCGGCUAACUCCGUGCCAGCAGCCGCGGUAAUACGGAGGAUGCGAGCGUUAUCCGGAUUUAUUGGGUUUAAAGGGUGCGCAGGCGGGCUGUUAAGCCAGCGGUAAAAAUUCAGGGCUCAACCCUGUCGGGCCGUCGGAACUGGCGG
rnacentral:rRNA from 1 species